rnacentral:rRNA from 1 species
GGGGGAUAUUGCACAAUGGAGGAAACUCUGAUGCAGCAACGCCGCGUGAGGGAAGACGGUUUUCGGAUUGUAAACCUCUGUCCUUGGUGACGAAAAAAAUGACGGUAGCCAAGGAGGAAGCUCCGGCUAACUACGUGCCAGCAGCCGCGGUAAUACGUAGGGAGCAAGCGUUGUCCGGAUUUACUGGGUGUAAAGGGUGCGUAGGCGGCACUGCAAGUCAGGCGUGAAAUAUAUGGGCUUAACCCAUAGACUGCGUUUGAAACUGUGGUGCUUGAGUGAAGUAGAGGUAGGCGGAAUUCCCGGUGUAGCGGUGAAAUGCGUAGAGAUCGGGAGGAACACCAGUGGCGAAGGCGGCUUACUGGGCUUUAACUGACGCUGAGGCACGAAAGCAUGGGUAGCAAAC